GUAGUCCACGCUGUAAACGAUGUCGAUUUGGAGUUUGUUGCCUAGAGUGAUGGGCUCCGAAGCUAACGCGAUAAAUCGACCGCUGGGGAGUACGGCCGCAAGGUUAAAACUCAAAUGAAUUGACGGGGGCCCGCACAAGCGGUGGAGCAUGUGGUUUAAUUCGAUGCAACGCGAAGAACCUUACCUGGUCUUGACAUCCAUAGAAUUCUGCAGAGAUGUGGGAGUGCCUUCGGGAACUAUGAGACAGGUGCUGCAUGGCUGUCGUCAGCUCGUGUUGUGAAAUGUUGGGUUAAGUCCCGCAACGAGCGCAACCCUUAUUCUUUGUUGCCAGCGAUUUGGUCGGGAACUCAAAGGAGACUGCCGUUGAUAAAGCGGAGGAAGGUGGGGACGACGUCAAGUCAUCAUGGCCCUUACGACCAGGGCUACACACGUGCUACAAUGGCGUAUACAAAGGGAAGCGAAGGUGCGAGCUGGAGCGGAUCUCAUAAAGUACGUCUAAGUUCGGAUUGGAGUCUGCAACUCGACUCCGUGAAGUCGGAAUCGCUAGUAAUCGUAGAUCAGAAUGCUACGGUGAAUACGUUCCCGGGCCUUGUACACACUGCCCGUCACACCAUGGGAGUGGGUUGCACCAGAAGUAGAUAGCUUAACCGCGAGGGGGGCGUUUACCACGGUGUGAUUCAUGACUGGGGUGAAGUCGUAACAAGGUAACCA
rnacentral:rRNA from 1 species